rnacentral:lncRNA from 1 species
UUUUUAGGAAAAAAUAAAAGGAUAUCAGCAGCCUGAAAGGAUAUUCUCAGAAGCAUAGACUCUUCGGAGGAUACUGAACUUCAUGAGAUCUCACGGUACAUGUGACAGCGCCGCAGCUAUGAGUGGAAUUUUAAAGAGGAAGUUCGAAGAUGUGGAAGCCUCCUCGCCCUGCUCCUCUGCUCGGGAAUCGGAUGACGAAGUCUCCAGCAGCGAAAGUGCUGACAGCGGGGAUAGCGUCAAUCCAUCUACCUCCAAUCACUUCACCCCUUCCUCCAUCCUCAAAAGAGAGAAACGGCUGAGGACGAAGAAUGUGCACUUCAGUUGUGUCACCGUGUACUACUUCACCAGGAGGCAGGGCUUCACCAGUGUGCCCAGCCAGGGUGGCAGCACUCUUGGGAUGUC